rnacentral:rRNA from 1 species
GAUGAACGCUGGCGGCGUGCCUAAUACAUGCAAGUCGAGCGAAUGGAUUAAGAGCUUGCUCUUAUGAAGUUAGCGGCGGACGGGUGAGUAACACGUGGGUAACCUGCCCAUAAGACUGGGAUAACUCCGGGAAACCGGGGCUACUACCGGAUAACAUUUUGAACCGCAUGGUUCGAAAUUGAAGGGCGGCUUCGGCUGUCACUUAUGGCUGGACCCGCGUCGCAUUAGCUAGUUGGUGAGGUAACGGCUCACCAAGGCAACGAUGCGUAGCCGACCUGAGAGGGUGAUCGGCCACACUGGGACUGAGACACGGCCCAGACUCCUACGGGAGGCAGCAGUAGGGAAUCUUCCGCAAUGGACGAAAGUCUGACGGAGCAACGCCGCGUGAGUGAUGAAGGCUUUCGGGUCGUAAAACUCUGUUGUUAGGGAAGAACAAGUGCUAGUUGAAUAAGCUGGCACCUUGACGGUACCUAACCAGAAAGCCACGGCUAACUACGUGCCAGCAGCCGCAGUAA